CGGGGUGAGUAAUGUCUGGGAAACUGCCUGAUGGAGGGGGAUAACUACUGGAAACGGUAGCUAAUACCGCAUAACGUCGCAAGACCAAAGAGGGGGACCUUCGGGCCUCUUGCCAUCGGAUGUGCCCAGAUGGGAUUAGCUAGUAGGUGGAGUAACGGCUCACCUAGGCGACGAUCCCUAGCUGGUCUGAGAGGAUGACCAGCCACACUGGAACUGAGACACGGUCCAG
rnacentral:rRNA from 1 species